AGCACGUAGGUGGGUUUGUAAGUCAGUUGUGAAAGCCUUCCGCUUAACGGAAGAACGGCAUCUGAUACUACAGGGCUUGAGUACGGGAGGGGAGAGUGGAACUUCUGGUGGAGCGGUGAAAUGCGUAGAUAUCAGAAGGAACGCCGGCGGCGAAAGCGACUCUCUGGUCCGAAACUGACGCUGAGUGUGCGAAAGCUAGGGGAGCAAACGGGAUUAGAUACCCCGGUA
rnacentral:rRNA from 1 species